rnacentral:misc_RNA from 1 species
UACGAAUACCCCAAGCGUUAUCCGGAAUCACUGGGCGUAAAGGGCGCGUAGGCGGUUUGUUAAGUCUAUUGUUAAAGACUGGGGCUCAACCCCGGCACGGCAGUGGGUACUGGCAGGCUUGACGGUUGGAGAGGCGAGUGGAAUUACCAGUGUAGCGGUGGAAUGCGUAGAUACUGGUAGGAACACCUAUUGCGAAGGCAGCUCGCUGGACAGCUCGUGACGCUGAGGCGCGAAAGUGUGGGGAGCAAACCGG